GCCCGUAGUCAGCUGGGAUAGGCUCCAGCUUGCCUGCGACCCUGUAGAAGGAUAAAGCGGCUAGAGAUAAUGAGAUGAGAUGAGACUAAGUGAGGACGAGUUAGAAAAACGGGUUCAUUUCUCCUAUGUUUAUGUUUACACGUUUUGUUCAGAAUGCUUUACACCCCAAUCCAGUGGGUGGCGGUAAUGCCCCCAUUAGACCCCUUUCACUGACGUCACCCGAAACCGGAAGUAAACAAACCCUGCGCCACAUUGGAAGACCAACAAACUCGUGAUUUGGGGGAAAUAAAGGCAGCGCGCGGUAUGUGAACCCACGAGGCACUUGGUUCAUCAUAAACCUACAAUGGUAAACUUUUGUGCUGUGUUAGGGUGUUCUAACAAAGCUGAUGGGAAAGGUGAAAAGAAGUCUUUCUACAGAAUACCAGCUGUGAUUGAGACACAAGCAAACCAAGGAGCUUUCUGCCGGGAGACAGAGAGAGGAUUUAGCUGCUUUAUGCAGAGCAGAUCUGAAUACUUCAAGUCUAUUUUGUUACUGGUCUGCGCCGCAGGAGGAAUAGGCCACAAUUAUAAAUAAAUCAUAAAAUGUUUCUAAGAA